UUCUUAUGCCCCUACUGAACUCCGGCAGGAGGAAGAUAUGUUCCAGCUCCAGUCAGAGGCCAGAGAAACAAGGAGACAGUAUGAACACAGCUCUAAAACGUUAGAGUUUCACAGACUCGUACCGCACACACAGUUUUGAACUCGCUCGGAUGGUGUCACAGUACCAGCACACUCAACAGAAAGUGCCUGACCUCAGGUGAGUGCGUCCACAACACAAAGGCUGGAGAAACUGAUAUACAGUGCCAUUUCAGUUUUGCCAAAAAUUGCGAAUUUUUAUUUUAUAUUCAAUAAUUUGAGUUUGUUUUUAAUACAUUUUUUGUUAAAUUUUUUUAACAUGUCUAUAUAGAUUUUAUAAAAAUUUUGUAUUUAGUUUUUGUUAUUUUAGUAAAAUGAGAAAUGCUGCUUUGACAAAUAAAUAUUUAGUAAAUAGUAAAAAGUAGUAAAUAUGUCAUUUUGUUUUAUUUUUGAAAAUAAUAAUUGAAAUAAUAACAAUCAUAUUAUUUAAAGUAAUACAGAAAAUCUGUUUUGAAUAUGAAAAUGCAAC
rnacentral:lncRNA from 1 species